rnacentral:rRNA from 1 species
UCAGUUCGGAUUGAAGUACUGAAAUUCGACUUCAUGAAGCUGGAAUUGCUAGUAAUGGCAGGUCAGCAUACUGCCGUGAAUACGUUCCCGGGGCCCUUGUACACACCGCCCGUCACACCAUGAGAGUUGGGAAUACCCGAAGCCUGUGAGCUAACUGUAAAGAGGCAGCAGUCGAAGGUAGAAUCAAUGAUUGGGGUGAAGUCGUAACAAGGUAGC